UAGGGAAUCUUCGGCAAUGGACGAAAGUCUGACCGAGCAACGCCGCGUGACUGAAGAAGGUUUUCGGAUCGUAAAACUCUGUUGUUAGAGAAGAACAAGGACGUUAGUAACUGAACGUCCCCUGACGGUAUCUAACCAGAAAGCCACGGCUAACUACGUGCCAGCAGCCGCGGUAAUACGUAGGUGGCAAGCGUUGUCCGGAUUUAUUGGGCGUAAAGCGAGCGCAGGCGGUUUCUUAAGUCUGAUGUGAAAGCCCCCGGCUCAACCGGGGAGGGUCAUUGGAAACUGGGAGACUUGAGUGCAGAAGAGGAGAGUGGAAUUCCAUGUGUAGCGGUGAAAUGCGUAGAUAUAUGGAGGAACACCAGUGGCGAAGGCGGCUCUCUGGACGAAGACUGACGCUCAGGUGCGAAAGCGUGGGGAGCAAACAGG
rnacentral:rRNA from 1 species